UGGUGGAGUGAUUUGUCUGGUUAAUUCCGUUAACGAACGAGACCUCGACCUACUAAAUAGUUAGUCCAUCCCUUUGGGAUGUGGCUCGCUUCUUAGAGGGACUAUCGGUUCGUAGCCGAUGGAAGUUCGAGGCAAUAACA
rnacentral:rRNA from 1 species